rnacentral:rRNA from 1 species
UACGUAGGGGGCCAGCGUUGUUCGGAAUUACUGGGCGUAAAGGGUUCGUAGGCGGUUUUGCAAGUCGGGAGUGAAAUCUCUGGGCUCAGCCCAGAGACUGCUUCCGAAACUGCUGUGCUUGAGUGUGAGAGAGGCUCGUGGAAUUGCAGGUGUAGCGGUGAAAUGCGUAGAUAUCUGCAGGAACACCCGUGGCGAAAGCGGCGAGCUGGAUCACUACUGACGCUGAGGAACGAAAGCUAGGGGAGCAAACAGG